rnacentral:rRNA from 1 species
UACGAAGGGGGCUAGCGUUGCUCGGAAUUACUGGGCGUAAAGCGCACGUAGGCGGCUUUCUAAGUCGGGGGUGAAAUCCUGGAGCUCAACUCCAGAACUGCCUUCGAUACUGGAGAGCUCGAGUCCGGGGAGAGGUGAGUGGACUGCGAGUGUAGAGGUGAAAUUCGUAGAUAUUCGCAAGAACACCAGUGGCGAAGGCGGCUCACUGGCCCGGUACUGACGCUGAGGUGCGAAAGCGUGGGGAGCAAACAGGAU